rnacentral:rRNA from 1 species
UGGUGGCGAGUGGCGAACGGGUGAGUAAUACAUCGGAACGUGCCCAGUCGUGGGGGAUAACUACGCGAAAGCGUAGCUAAUACCGCAUACGAUCUACGGAUGAAAGCGGGGGACUCGCAAGAGCCUCGCGCGAUUGGAGCGGCCGAUGGCAGAUUAGGUAGUUGGUGGGGUAAAGGCUCACCAAGCCUGCGAUCUGUAGCUGGUCUGAGAGGACGACCAGCCACACUGGGACUGAGACACGGCCCAGACUCCUACGGGAGGCAGCAGUGGGGAAUUUUGGACAAUGGGCGCAAGCCUGAUCCAGCCAUUCCGCGUGCAGGAUGAAGGCCCUCGGGUUGUAAACUGCUUUUGUACGGAACGAAAAGGCUCUCUCCAAUACAGGGGGCUCAUGACGGUACCGUAAGAAUAAGCACCGGCUAACUACGUGCCAGCAGCCGCGGUAAUACGUAGGGUGCAAGCGUUAAUCGGAAUUACUGGGCGUAAAGCGUGCGCAGGCGGUGAUGUAAGACAGUUGUGAAAUCCCCGGGCUCAACCUGGGAACUGCAUCUGUGACUGCAUCGCUGGAGUGCGGCAGAGGGGGAUGGAAUUCCGCGUGUAGCAGUGAAAUGCGUAGAUAUGCGGAGGAACACCGAUGGCGAAGGCAAUCCCCUGGGCCUGCACUGACGCUCAUGCACGAAAGCGUAGGGAGCAAACAGGAUUAGAUACCCUGGUAGUCCACGCCCUAAACGAUGUCAACUGGUUGUUGGGUCUUCACUGACUCAGUAACGAAGCUAACGCG